UCCGGUUUGUCACCGGCAGUCUCCCAUGAGUCCCCGGCCGAACCGCUGGCAACAUGGGACAGGGGUUGCGCUCGUUGCGGGACUUAACCCUACACCCCACGGCACGAGCUGACGACAGCCAUGCAGCACCUGUGUCCCGACCUAUUGCUAGGAAGAAUCCAUCUCUGGAAACCGUCCGGGCAUGUCAAGGGCUGGUAAGGUUCUUCGCGUUGCGUCGAAUUAAACCACAUGCUCCGCUGCUUGUGCGGGCCCCCGUCAAUUCCUUUGAGUUUUAGCCUUGCGGCCGUACUCCCCAGGCGGGGCGCUUAAUGCGUUAGCUGCGGCACGGAGGACGUGGAAUGUCCCCCACACCUAGCGCCCAACGUUUACGGCGUGGACUAC
rnacentral:misc_RNA from 1 species